AAGGGAGCGGAAAGGCCGAGCGCCACCCGCCCCGGGAGUCUCCAGAGCAGCGCGCGGGGCAGACCUCCUCGGGUCCUCCGGCGCUUCGGUCUCCGGAGACGCCCGGCCUCCUGAAGGGUUCGGCUUGUCCUCCUCUGGCGCUCAGCUCCCUCUGGCGGCCGGGCUGGCAGGACCUCAGCGCCCAGCCCUUCCGUCUUGUUACGUCCAGGGUCUCACUCUGUGUCUCAGGCUGGAGUACAGUGGUGCAAUUGUAGAUGGCUGCAGCCCUCGACCUCCUGGGCUCAAGUGAUCCUCCUGCCUUAGCCUCUCGAGUAGCUGGGAGUACAGAUGCACACCACCACACCCAGCCUAGAAUGAAGAAACCUGCAGUUGGGAAGCAUGAAUUUACCACCUAUUAAGGACUGUUUCUGCCAUGCGUGUUACUCAUUGCCAUGGUGCUUAUGACAGUGAAGGAAAGAGUCUCACUUUGUCGCCCAGGCUGGAGUACAGUGGUGCGAUCUUGGCUCUCUGCAACCUCUGCCUCCCAGGUUCAAGUAAUUCUCCUGCCUCAGCCUCCCGAGUAGCUGGUACUACAGGCACACAUUUGUAGAGAUGGUGUUUCCCCAUGUCAUCCAGGCUGGUCUGGAACUCCUGGGAUCAAGUAAUCCACCCGCCUCGGCCUCCCAAAGUGCUGGGAUUACAGACGUGAGCCACCACGCCCUGCCAAUAAAAAGAUUAUCUCCAGAUGCUGGAAUGACCAGUAAUUUAUUUUCUUCCUUUUUUUUUGUCUGCACUUUCUACCAUAAUCAUAUGUUAGCUUCUUACUAAGAAGAAAAGUCAAUGUUAUUUCCCUGAAAAAGUAAUGUUGUUUGGUUAUUAAACAAAUUUAAUUUUCUAAACAAGAGUACGACAGGUAAACUGCCUACCUUAAAAGCAAACGAACACAAAUAAAUAAACUAACCAUCUUCCACUUCAGUCUCUGUCCUUUCACCAGAGUUGCUGAUCAGCCCAGAAUGGACUGAUUUGAAUUUGCUUAGUUGUUCAUUCAUUCAUUUAUUUAACAAGUAUUUAUUAAGCACUUGCUCUGUAGAAAGCACUGUGCUGGUAUUGGAAUACUGGCUUAUGUAAGUGUGAUAGUAAUGGGAUUCUGACUUAGGCCUGACUCCUGGGCCGUAAUGUUUGGAUACUAUGUAUACAUCUAACUAUAAAACGAGGGAAAAUGAAAAAAAGAGCAAAAAUGAUUUGAGGGGGGAUGGUCUCCAUUUCCUAUUACCUAUUUAUAUGUAGAUCAUCUUGGGUAUUAUAAUUCCUAUUUUUAUUAGGAAAGCAUAGUCCUCAUAGCUAGUUGCAGUCACAUGUUGCAUAGCAACGGGAAUAUGUUAGGCAAUUUUGUUGUGUGAACAUCAUAGUGUGUACUUACACAAAUCUAGAUGGUGUAGCCAACUACGCACCUAGGCUACAUGGUAUAGUCUAUUGCUCCUAGGCUACAAACCUGUAUAGCAUGCUACUGUACUGAAUACUGUAUGCAGUUGUAACACAGUGGUAGGUGUUUGUGUAUUUAAACAUAUCUUAACGUAGAAAGAAAAUGUAACGUAUUGUGUUAUGACAUGAUGACAGAUCACAGCUACCAUGUCACUAGGUGAUAGGAAUUUUUCAGCUCCAUUAAAAUCUCAUGGGACCCCUGUUUUAUAUGCGAUCAGUCCAUCAUUGAUUAAGCACAUACUAUGCUGUAGACAAGCCGUUCUCAAAUUGAAGUUCAUGUGUCCCCUGGGUUCCCCAAGACUUUUUCGGUAAGUCCACAAUGUCAAAACAAUUUUCACAAUAAUACUAAGACACUAUUUGCAUUUUUACUGUGUUAGCAUUUGCUCCAAUAGUGUAAAAGCAAUGGUGAGCAAAACUGUUGUUGCCUUAACAUGAAUUGAAGCAUGGCAGCAGAAUCUGCCACUAAUGCAUUGUUGUAUUUAUCACUGCUGUGCACACACAGGGGGAAAAAGCCAGUUUCACUUAAGAAUGCUUUGAUGAAGCAGUAAAAAUUAUUAAUUUUAAUAAAUAUAGACCCUUGAGUCCACACUCAUUGAAUCUUCUAUAUGACACCAUGGAAAUAUGCAUAAAGCACUCUGAUACACACCAAAGCAUGAGGCUUGUCUUGAGGAAAAACACUCGCAUGAGUGAGUAGCCACUUUUUUUCAUGGAACACAUUUUCACUUGAAAAGAAAAACUGACAGGCAAACUACAUUUAUUUAGACAUGGGUAUUUUUGGCUGAUGUUUUCUCAAAAAUGAAUGAAGGGAGCCUGUCACUUUGAGGAAAAAUGACUGACAAUAUUUGUUACCAAUGAUAAAAUUUGAACUUUCAUAUGAAAAUUAGAAUUCUGGAGGACUUUUAUACAUCACCGUGAAAUUGUCAGCUUCCCUAAAUCUGAAGACUUUUCUGAUGAGAUGCGAUGCUAUUAAUGACUGCGAUUUUUUUCCAUGUUGCAUAAUGAAACAUGUCAAUGUUUUGUAGAUCUGCAUAACCCAGUGAACCAACACUAUUCGAAAUGACCAAUGCAUGAUGGUGUAAAAUUGUAUGUGAAUGAAAGACCCACUCAAAGUGCAAGAUAGCCACUGUAUUUUAAUACAACAGAAUAUGAAAAGUUGAUUGAUAUUGUUUCAGAUUCCACAUCUCAACUUAUCUAACUAACCAGAUAUUACUUGUCAGAUUGAUAGAGUAUUCAAGAAAGAUAUCCACAGUUAUCUGAAAAGACUUAAAAUACUCCUCUCUUUUUCAACUACAUGUCUAUGUGAGGCUCAAUUUUCUUCUGAUUCUUAAAUAAAAACAACAUACUGCAAUAGAUAUUAAAGCCAGACAGACACUAAGGAGACAUACAAAUAUGGAAAACAAAGUCAGUCCUCUUGCCUUUUUUAAAAGAUAUAGUUUUUUCAUAAAAAUAUUAUUAAUGUUAAUACAUAAUUUGUGUAACAUAUAACAAUAUUUAUUAUUGUUAUUUUAAAAUAAAUUAGUAAAGAAAUAUUAAAAUGUGAAUAUUGUAAAUAUCUAUAGCUAUAACCCAUGUAAAAUCUCUUUGGAGUUCUUAAAAUUUUUAAGAGAAUAAAAGGGUUCUGAAACUAAAAAAGUUUGAGAUUUGCUAUUCUAGAUGUCCUAGUAAUCAUUUGAUGUGUAUAAUCUUGCUUCAUCCCCACAACCACUCUAAGUAUUAUAUCUACUACUAUUAUUUUUAUUUUACAAUUGAGGAAAAUGAGUUUGAGAAAGUUAAAAACUUGUCCAAGAUCAUAUAACUAGUAAAAGAGAGCUACAAACUCAGGAAGUAAGUGUAAUCAACAAUUUCUUUGGAAUGAUAGAGAGGGAGAAAAAUAUUUCACAAAGAAGGCAAAAU
rnacentral:lncRNA from 1 species